rnacentral:rRNA from 1 species
AGGGCACCACCAGGAGUGGAGCCUGCGGCUUAAUUUGACUCAACACGGGGAAACUCACCCGGCCCGGACACUGGAAGGAUUGACAGACUGAUGGCUCUUUCUUGAUUCAGUGGGUGGUGGUGCAUGGCCGUUCUUAGUUGGUGGAGUGAUUUGUCUGGUUAAUUCCGAUAACGAACGAGACUCUAGCCUGCUAAAUAGUGUAGUUGGUUCUUUGGUUUUUGUUUGGUUGUCGGCCCCUCACGGGGUCGGCGCCUUACAAUUAACUAGAGACCACCCAAACUACGACUUCUUAGAGGGACUGGCGGCGUUUCAGCCGCACGAAACAGAGCAAUAACAGGUCUGUGAUGCCCUUAGAUGUCCGGGGCCGCACGCGCGCUACACUGAAAAGCGCAGCGUGCAUCUCUUUCUGACCUGCCCCGAAAGGGGCGGGCAAUCCCAUCAACUCUUUUCGUGAUUGGGAUAGGGGCUUGUAAUUGUUGCCCUUGAACGAGGAAUUCCCAGUAAGCGCGAUUCAUCCAG